AUCCUGUUCCCAUUAUUGCACUGUAAUGGCACACUAUAGCUUCCUGUCCUGCAGGGCCCCCCUUCCUGUGUCCAACGCCCUUUUUGCGCCCGGAUCCUGGGAACCCCCAGUGUGGGGAAGUACCGGCCGGGCUGCUGUGCGGUGUAUUGUACAAGGGCUCUGUGUUGGCACAUAGGGGUUGAAUGCACAAUGUGGAGUGUAGUGGUGCUGUUUACCUCUCACGGUUGUUUGGUGCGGAGUGCAUAUGUCUAAACAAAAAAACUCGAGCGGUAGCCUGAAUAUAGAUUGCCACUAAAGAUUCUUAUACUUAUAAAGUACUUUGAGAGUGCUUGUUUGAUAUUCAAAUCUGGGAGAUUGAUGUUCCCAGCAGAUGGUGGUAGACCUGAUCUUUACGGUGACUUUUCUCAAUUUGAUGAAUGACUUCUAGAUUAAAGUAUAGUGACUGUAAUAAAAUCUGAGAGAUGUGUUGAUUGUGUUUGGCUGUACCUCAAAAACUAGUCGACAUUGAAGUUGUGCCUGUUAGGGCAAGUGAAGUAUUAAGAUAUAAGACGUGGUCCUAGUACAGGUGUUGAGUCGCAGCUGAAUCAAAUUACCUAAUGUAUUUGGUUUUGUGCACUUGUAGUUUUCUGAAUUCCCCCCAAACUCUGCAUUAAUCUAAAUUCACUAUCACAAUUGUAUUUAUCUUAGGUUUUCAGCUGCCAAACACAUCAACAUAACUUCUGCU